CAAUAGCGUAUAUUAAAGCUGUUGCGGUUAAAAAGCUCGUAGUUGGAUUUCUGUCAAGGACAACUGGUCCGCCCCUCGGGUGAGCACAUAGUUUGGUCUUGGCAUCUUGUUGGAAACUGUUGCUGCACUUGGUUGUGUGGCGCAGUGUCCAGCACUUUCACUUUGAGGAAAUUGGAGUGUUUCAAGCAGGCACAUGCCUUUGGACACAGUAGCAUGGAAUAAUUAGAUUGGGCUUUUGCUCCAACUUGUCGGUUUCUGGAGCUGAGGUGAGAAUUAAUGGGGAUUGUUGGGGGCAUCCGAAUUUAGCCGUCAGAGGUGAAAUUCUUGGAUCUGCUGAAGACGGACAACUGCGAAAGCGUUUGCCCAGGAUGUUUUCAUUGA
rnacentral:rRNA from 1 species